GCACAAGCCUCAAAGAGGACCUGCAGCAGAGCCGGCUUCAGAGGUACUUCCCUCCACCUCUACUCUUUCUCCAUUUCCCUCUUCUAAAUCCCCCUGCUUCAGCAGAGGUUUUGUUGUGAACCCGGGCCAGAGACUUUGGGAGGAAUGAAGAUCAAAAAGGUUACUUUGGAAUGUUGGCAAAGUUUCUGACAGCUUUGGAAGACAAGAGCUACGGAAUGCGGAUGGGCAGUAGCUCCUCAAUUCUGCAGCUUACCCCAACCAGGCAUCAUAGUUGGAGAAAGUCAUUGAAAGAUUACAUAAAAGUUGUCAACAGAAAAAGGAUGGGGCCAGGGAACAGAAGGCAUGGUGAAAAGAAGCAAGGAAUGGGUCCUUGAUUGUUGGGUGAUAGUAGAAGUGCAAUGAAUUGCAAAGGCUUGGGACACCCUUUACCAGCAAUUUCAUAUUAAAUAAAUACCAUAGGAGACAAAAUAGAACCUAAUAAGGACUUUGCAGACCAGUGAGUCAAAAAGGAGUCUCCCA
rnacentral:lncRNA from 11 species